GGAUCAAGAAUUGGAGUACUCGAAAUUCGAUUCCCAUUAUAGUGAGUAACCUUAUUAUCGUCUUAAUUAUCUAAAGUAGUUUUUAUCUAAUUUUGUGAUUUUAUGGAAAAUGAGUUUAAAUGGUAAAUCUUUACGUUGUAUGAGCAAAAUGUGAUUAAAUGAAAUGAUUUUAUAAAAUUGUCUUGAAAUUGAAAAAUGAUUUUGAAAAUGCAGUAAUUGGAGACUAAUUGUUGUGUUGUAAAUUAUGGUUUGAAUUGAAUGGCUUAUGAUAAUGUGGGCAUGAGUGGCUUGGUUUGGUAAAUGUGUUGAAAAAGUAUGAGCUGUUGAUUUGCCUUGAGAGGCUAUAAAAUAAAAUAAUUGCCAUGUCAUGCUGUUAAAUUUUUAUUGAAUUGGUGGGUUAUAAAUUGGUCACUGUAGUGGACGGGUUUCAUGGACCAGCCUAUUAGAGGGGGACGGUAACCCUAUUAUAUUCAUACCUCAGUAUGAGAGGCGCGGUUGGAUAACUCCUAAGGUUAAAACUUUAGAGUUCACUUCACGCCAAACCAGUACGUGAGGGUGAACUCAACCAACGCCAGGGAACGUUUAUGUUUUCAAAAUAAAAAUAUGAUUUAUGCGUACAUGACUUUUUAGCAGCCUUGGCGGACUCGGUUGGGAUAGCCCCUAGCCAAGGUAUCCUUGAUAACUGAGUAUGAGAAUGAUUUUGGCACGAGCCAAACUUUUUAGGAAAUCAUAAACCUCGUUGUUUAUUUUGGUGAAAUGAAUCUAUUUUAUCUUAUUAAAAUGAAUUCGAAAUGCUGUGAAUCAUUUUUAUGCUAAUCUAUUUUAUCUGUCUCCAUUUACUCAGCUUUAGAUAUUUUAGAUGGUAUUUGUUUACUCACUGGGAUUAUAUAAUCUCACCACCCUUCUUUGCACCAAUUCAGGCUCAGGAUGGUUGGUAAAUAACUCACUUUGUUGAGGGCUACAUUUGGACUUGCAUGCUUAAAAACUGUAGGUUUACCGCCUUUGAUACUUUCGGUCAUUCGUGGGCCCACGUGUCACUGUAAAUUAAAUUUUAUACUUUGGUUAUUAGUAUUACAAUAUGUAUGAAUUAUUUUACUUUUACGCUAUAAAAAUUAUUUACCGGUAACUCUAUAAAUAUUGUUUUAUAAGAAAAUAGAAUAUUUUAUUGAAUAUUUUUAUUAUAUUCAAAUAGUAUAAUUUCAUUUUAAAUGAUGGUUUUAGACGUUUAAACUUAUUUUUGAUUAUGAAUUAUGUGUUUUAUACUCGCAUACUACAUUUUUAGCUGAUUUCAAAAUUUUUGAGGAAAAAUGAUUAAAAUGCCCUUGUGAGACAGAAAUCAUUUUUUUUAUUGAUUUAAGUUGGAAAUAGCUUAAAAUCUUUUAAAACAUGAUAUUUGGCAAUGGUUACUCACAGGGGAAAUGAGAAACUGAUAUUAAAGCCUUGCGGGGUUUCGAUUAACAUUCCGGGUAAUGAGUGUCGAUCGGGACACCGCGGUGGUUGUCACGGGCUCUAAGGGAGUACUGGGUCGUGACAAUUAGAUUGGUAUCAAAGCCUUUGGUUUUAAAGAUCAAAGGCCUUUGGUUUUAAAGAUUAGAGCUUUUGGGUUUAAAGUUGUUUUAAAAACUACAGUGUCAGUGUGGCCCAAGUUAAGUUAAGUUAAGUUAGGUUUGAUAGAAUAGAAUACGUGCAUCUGCAUAUAGAAUUUGGAGUUGUUUAGACUCGUUCUGUUUCUUCUUAUAGAUCUUAUGGGAGCAUAGGUCAUAGAGAGGGAGCUAUAUGAACUCUUGUUCCUAGUAAUCCACUUUCUUGUUAAUGUCAUGCAAAGAUCAUAAGUAGGGCCGUUGUCCGGGUUUAAGAUGCCACCCGUGACACGAGCUAGUGUUAGAGAGAUCUUAAAACGAAUGCACCUAAUGAAAGAUUAAUGAAAUGAUAUAUCCCUUCGAUUAAGGAUAGAGAAAUUUGGAGUUGGACUAAUAGGUUGUGAUAAUUUAUUCAUUUGGUGGAGUUAUAACUGAACUCAUGGUUGUCAAUUGGAAAAAGAUUUGAGGAGUAUGGAUUGUAUUAGGGUUAAUAUAAAGGAGCACGUGUGAUAAUGGUAAUAAGGGGCGUACUUUGAUUAGAAUGAAUAAUGAUGGUUGUAAUUCACUUGGAGUGUAUAAAUUAAGCAUUGAGGUAAGAGUAAACCCAUACUUAUGUGCAUAAAGAUAAGAACACUAUGUUAAUUGAGAUUGUUAUGCCCAUAUAAAAGUGGUGUUGGGAUUUUGAAAUAUUUUUUAUGUGAAUAUGUGUUGAAUAGGUACAGUAGCUUAGACGGAACUGGUGUUGAUUUCAAUUAAGCGAUUGUGAGAUUUCAAGAAUUGAUUGGACCUAUUAUAGUUCAUAGAUAUAAGCACGUGUGAUAACGUGUGGGUCCGGGAACCAGACCACCAGACGUUAUGAAAACACACUAGGAGUCGCCACCAAUCUUUUUUCUAGGUGUGAUUGGCCACCUAUUGACUCGAUUCUAAUCGACGAAUUCUUAAAUUAAUUUUAAGCCCGUCGAAAGAAUCUUAAACUAGUUUACAUUUUUCUAGAUCUAGGUUCGGGAGUACGGUUACGCCCGGGGAAGGAUUAGCACCCCCGGGACGCCCGUUCCAUGAAUGGCACCAUUUUUAGAUUAUCUUAUUGGGCUUUAAUCUUUAAGUUCAUUAUGUUUCCUUAGCUAUAAUUUGCUUAUUAUAUCUCCAAUUUUAUUAAAUAUUUUUUAUUUGAUUCUAAAAUGAAAUGCAAGUGUGAGGCAAGAUGAAAUGCAUGGCGUAAGAUAAAAAAUAUCGGACGAAUAACCUUUUAUCGAGGACGUUCUUCCAAAUCUGCCCAUCAUACUGGUGGGAUCCGGGGUGUUCUCUCACCUAGGGAAUUAUCCGAGAAAUUCACCUUCGCAAAUUCAACGAAUAAAUCCCAUAAUCGGGGUUAUCGUACGUUUUUCUUUAAAAAUAAUGUUUUCGUGAAUAUGAACCUAUUACGAGCAAAAGCCUUUUUAUUAAAGAUGUUUCCCGAGCCCUUCCAUCAUACUAGUGGGACCCGGGACAUCCUUUCACCUAUGGAGCUUUCUGAGAGAAACUCGCCUUCGCAAGAUCUUCGAAAAAUCCCAUCAUCGGGACUUAACUCGUAAACAAAAAUAUCUAUAUGCAAUUAUAUGCAUGAUGCAAUAGAAAUAUAUGUUAUGCUUGUGAAAUUAAUUAUUUUUUAUUAUUAUUUAUUUUUUGAACAAAUUAAAUAUAGCAUAUAUUUUUAUAUAUUUUUAUUUUUAUUUUUUUAAUUUAUUAUUUUUCAACUAAUUUUUAUGUAGUAAAUUUUUUGUUUAUUUAAAAUAAAAAUCUCAGAAUCUGAAAAUCAAGGCCCUCCCAUCGUACUGGUGGAGCCUUAGUUUGGAUUCCGAACCUAGGAAAAAUUAGCCCGAGAUUGCGACUCCUCGCGGCCCGAUCACUCAUCCCAUCAUCGGUAUGUUAUACUUGUAGUUAAUGUCAUGGAAUAUUAUUAUUACUUUAUAUUAUUACUGUUAUUUUUUUUUAUUUUAUUUUUUAAUAUAUUUGUUAAAUAUUUUCCUAAGCUUAAGUUCUUUGUAUAACUAAACAUUUUCUAAAAUAUUUUUUAUUUUUUAUUUUUUCAUGAUUUAUUAUUUCUAUAUUUUCUAUUUGUAUUAAUUUCCUAAGUCUAAAAUAUCAUCUAAAAAAAACAAUUAGAACAUUAUGCUAUAAUAAUUGAGAAUUAAUUCUACCUAAUAUUCCUAAAAGAAAAACAUAUAAAAUGGGCCAACCUAAAACAUAAACAGAUCCAUAAAAGGGUUAAGGAUUUACCUUGCUAGGUUAAAAGCAGCCCAAGAUAGCCAGCAUGCUCCAACUAAACUGCCUCCCUAAGGCCCGCGUAGCCUCUUGUCACAACGCACCGCCUUGGUGCACAAACCAAAGCCUUUUUGCCUCCCAAAACUACACUGUUUUGAUCACCACUACACUUUCCCCAAAACGACGCCAUUUCACUUUAAACCCUAGAUAUAAAACCCCAUUUUCUUUCUUUUCUUCCCAUUUUUUCCCCUCACUUUCUCUCUUUAGCCGUCGGACCCUCCUCAUUCUCUCUACACCCCCAACUUCUCUUCUCACCUUUCUCUCUCACCCUCACGUCGGUGACUUCUUUUUUGCCUCCGAUCUGCAGAUGGCCUCCCAACAGAAACCUCUAGACCUCCUAAGCCAGCUCACCUUGCCGUCAGUUCUCUCUCUAUCUCAAUACCGCCGGUUACCCAAAGCUUUUCUUCUUUAAUUGGAGACUGUAACCCAAGGCUUAUCCUUCUUCACGGUGACUAAAUACCCAAGAUCUAUUUUCCUUGAACAGCGGCUGCACCCCAAGAUAUAUUUUCCUUCACUGGUGGCUAAAUACCAAGGAUCUAUCUUCCUUGACCGGCAGGCUGUAACCCCAAGCUAUUCCUCCUUAAUCGGUGACUAAAUACCCAAAGAGCAACCUCCCUAAAAUUAAAAUAUCUCCCUAAAAAUGAGCCAAAAAUUCCCCCAAAAAACUAACCAUUCUACCUCUUUCAUUGUACAUAUUUUCUGAUUUUUUUUUGUAUUUUUUUGAUUUGUGGAUUGUGGUUUUUUGGCUGCUAGAAAGUUAGGGUUUUUGGUCUGCAAAUGUUUUUGGGUUGCUAAGGAUUCCUACGGUUUUUCGAUUGCUCCCUUCCCUCCCCUUUGUUCUGUGGCUACAAUGUCUCUUUUAUACUCGAUUUUUCAAUCGAGUACCAUUCUAGCCAAAUGCCUUCUUCCCACUACUUUGCUAGACGCAAGUUUUUUGCGUCUCGCACUAUAGUGGUGCUUGGCUGGUACUGGCAGGGUGCGUCCACGCCUUGCUAGUACUAUUUUUUUCUUUUUUCUUUUCCUUUUUUCUUUUAUUUUGUUUCUAAUUAUUUAAUUAAUUAAUUUUCAAUUAUUAUUUUUUGUUUGUCUAAGUAAAAUUACAGUGUCUACAGCACGUGAAUUAACUCGAGAGUGAGUAUCAAUGAUUACUAUAAUUGAUGUGUGGUCAUGAAGUAAGAAGUUAGUAAACAAAUCUGCUCUAAGGAUGAGCUCGAACUUUGCUAUGCAUAGCUGGGGGAGCCAAGAGAUUAAAGGACUAGAUGUGGAAUUGGCAGCUUGAGGUUAAAUGACUUGGAAAUGUCGAAACUAGUCUAAGUGCCAUAUGAAGUUCUAUAAUUGAGAUUGAUAUACGAAUUACUUGAAAGAUCAAUUUAAAAGUUUAUUCGGUUCUAAGUGUGGCCUAUGAUAUGAAUGAUCAGUCUUGAAGGUGAUCUCCCCAAAGUAAGGAAUUUAGAAAAUGUUGAUGUUUGGAUAUACUCUAAGAGAGAGAACUUCUGCAUCCUAAGUUUAGGACAACUUUGAUCUUAUGAUCACAAAGGCAAGGUGUAAUAACUAAGUAAAUUAUUCACUUAAUAAAUGUGAUUGNNNNNNNNNNNNNNNNNNNNNNNNNNNNNNNNNNNNNNNNNNNNNNNNNNNNNNNNNNNNNNNNNNNNNNNNNNNNNNNNNNNNNNNNNNNNNNNNNNNNNNNNNNNNNNNNNNNNNNNNNNNNNNNNNNNNNNNNNNNNNNNNNNNNNNNNNNNNNNNNNNNNNNNNNNNNNNNNNNNNNNNNNNNNNNNNNNNNNNNNNNNNNNNNNNNNNNNNNNNNNNNNNNNNNNNNNNNNNNNNNNNNNNNNNNNNNNNNNNNNNNNNNNNNNNNNNNNNNNNNNNNNNNNNNNNNNNNNNNNNNNNNNNNNNNNNNNNNNNNNNNNNNNNNNNNNNNNNNNNNNNNNNNNNNNNNNNNNNNNNNNNNNNNNNNNNNNNNNNNNNNNNNNNNNNNNNNNNNNNNNNNNNNNNNNNNNNNNNNNNNNNNNNNNNNNNNNNNNNNNNNNNNNNNNNNNNNNNNNNNNNNNNNNNNNNNNNNNNNNNNNNNNNNNNNNNNNNNNNNNNNNNNNNNNNNNNNNNNNNNNNNNNNNNNNNNNNNNNNNNNNNNNNNNNNNNNNNNNNNNNNNNNNNNNNNNNNNNNNNNNNNNNNNNNNNNNNNNNNNNNNNNNNNNNNNNNNNNNNNNNNNNNNNNNNNNNNNNNNNNNNNNNNNNNNNNNNNNNNNNNNNNNNNNNNNNNNNNNNNNNNNNNNNNNNNNNNNNNNNNNNNNNNNNNNNNNNNNNNNNNNNNNNNNNNNNNNNNNNNNNNNNNNNNNNNNNNNNNNNNNNNNNNNNNNNNNNNNNNNNNNNNNNNNNNNNNNNNNNNNNNNNNNNNNNNNNNNNNNNNNNNNNNNNNNNNNNNNNNNNNNNNNNNNNNNNNNNNNNNNNNNNNNNNNNNNNNNNNNNNNNNNNNNNNNNNNNNNNNNNNNNNNNNNNNNNNNNNNNNNNNNNNNNNNNNNNNNNNNNNNNNNNNNNNNNNNNNNNNNNNNNNNNNNNNNNNNNNNNNNNNNNNNNNNNNNNNNNNNNNNNNNNNNNNNNNNNNNNNNNNNNNNNNNNNNNNNNNNNNNNNNNNNNNNNNNNNNNNNNNNNNNNNNNNNNNNNNNNNNNNNNNNNNNNNNNNNNNNNNNNNNNNNNNNNNNNNNNNNNNNNNNNNNNNNNNNNNNNNNNNNNNNNNNNNNNNNNNNNNNNNNNNNNNNNNNNNNNNNNNNNNNNNNNNNNNNNNNNNNNNNNNNNNNNNNNNNNNNNNNNNNNNNNNNNNNNNNNNNNNNNNNNNNNNNNNNNNNNNNNNNNNNNNNNNNNNNNNNNNNNNNNNNNNNNNNNNNNNNNNNNNNNNNNNNNNNNNNNNNNNNNNNNNNNNNNNNNNNNNNNNNNNNNNNNNNNNNNNNNNNNNNNNNNNNNNNNNNNNNNNNNNNNNNNNNNNNNNNNNNNNNNNNNNNNNNNNNNNNNNNNNNNNNNNNNNNNNNNNNNNGAAUUAUGGUAUUGCAUAACAUGCAAUGAUCAAGUCAAGGAAAAUUUUUGAAGUAUCAAUGGGAUUAUAAAGCAUACACGCAUAAUAGAUUAUAAUUCAAUGGAGAUGACAUUAUGAUGCAAUGAUAUAUAGUACAAGGAAACUUAAGCAUAUAAUUGGAAAUGAUAAGAAGAGAGUAUAAGUAUGUAAAUGAUGUGGAACUAUGCACAGGCAUGAUGAGAAUUUGUAUGAAUUAUGAAAAUUAUUCUAUUGAAUCUUGGUUAUGAUGGGAAUGAACAAAGAGAAAUUAGUCUGAAGGCACUUGAAAACAGAUACCCAUAUAUAUAAUGAGGAAUAUGGACAUUUACAUGUGCAUAUAUACGUAUGUGUGGAGUUAGUGAUGUACCAACUAAAAUGAAGAAUGGUUUUAGUGGUUUGAGAUUUGAACUCAAUAUAUUUGAUGAGUUGUAUGGUAAUGUAACGAUCAAGAAUCUUAUCAGAAGUCGAUUUAUGGCGACUUAAGGAAUUUUGGAAAAAUAGUUAAGGGAAUGUAAUCUAUAGUAUGGUUAAGCCAUAUGAGAUGGAUUAAUAGGAUUAAGAAGAUUGAAAUUUCCUAAAUACAAGGUAAACAUGAAGUAUGUGGAAAUAAUUGAAGCCAUUAAUUUUCCCUAAAGCUGAGGAUAAGUACAGGAAUGAGAAUGGCAUGUUAAUGAUGCCAUAAACUACACAACAGUGUAUGAGGAUAGGAUGAAUGAAUGAAGUAAUAAGAUAGUGAUUGGUAUACCUAUAAAAUUAUAAAAUAGAAUCAAAAUUGGUAUGAUUGAGAUAGAGUUAUGGUUCAAGUUUAAUGAUAGUAAUAGAAGCAUGCUUGGUGUCUCGAUAUAAGAUAUCAUAAUUGUGAAAGUUACUGUUGAUCUGAUUUUAAAGGAUAAUAAUAGACAUAAGUGAAGUACUCGAGUUGAAUUAGAGGUGAAUGAGGUGAACAAAUCGAAAUUGCCUAAAAAGGGAGGACAUAAGAAGUAGAGCAUUAGCUGAGAAAAUAAUAUCCCCACCUUUUCUCUAAGUUUAGUAAAUGAAAUUUUGAGGUCAAAAUUUUAUUUUAAGGGGGGUAGUGCUGUCAAGCCCGACUUUACAAUAUGUUUAUUAUGCCAUUCCUACAUAAGAAUGCAUGUUUGCUUACUUGGGUACCUCGAAAAUAAUUAAAGGACGAUAUUGUACCAAAUGGUAUAAUUAAGUUGAAUUAAGUCUCGAACUAGUCCAAAUAGAGAUUUUAAGAUGAAAUUGAGAAUUUUAAAAUCCCAGAAUGACUUAAAAUGGUGAUUUGGAGUUCGAGGAUCGAUUUAAAGUCAAAUUGGAAUUUUCAUGACCUAAGGGCAAAAUGGUCAUUUUGCUACCUGAGGUUAAGAUGUGACUGUUGGAUGAAAUUUUUGACUAAGAUUGAUCAUUUGGGGUAUAAUUUGAGUUUAAGAAGUGAAAAAUUUUAAUUUUGGCAUUUUUUCGAGCAUAGGGGCAAAAUAGUCAUUUUGCUACCCAAAGGUAAAAUUGUAAUUUUACACCACCCAACACUUGUCCAGCACAUGGAUUUUACCUAAUAUUAUCAUGGAUAAUUGAGGAAAUUUAUAUGGUGGAGAGAGAUUGCUUAAUGGGUAAAUAUGACACAUGGACUAAUGAAAUGGUGACACAUGGCAAACACAUGGACUAAUGGAAUAGUGACACAUGGUAAAUUUUUGUCCAUUUAAUAUUUUCCUUUAUAAAGCUAAUUUGAAAUCUUCCACAUUCAUUCUUAUAGCUGGCCAUAGCAAGAACAAAGGAAGAAAAGAAGAACAAAAACCCUAGAGUGAAAAUUCAAGAGAAAAUUGGUGGAUUUCAAGUAAUCAAGACAUCAAAGGUGAAAUUUCUUAACUCUAGCUUGUGAUUUAUCUUUCCUAUGCAUUCUUUUGCAUUUCCCAUGGUUGAAUCACAAGAUAUCAUGAAGCAUUCAUGGCUGACCGAAUUUAGAGAGAGAAGAUUUGAUAAUUUAUUUGGUUAGAUUUUGAGAUAUUUUAGUGUUUAUAGUUGAUUUAUCUUGUUUGGAAGGAAAACAAGUAAGAAAAAUCACAUAUUCUUCAUGGAUUCUUCAUUGGCCGAAUUUCAUAAAGACAAUAUUGAAGAUGAAUCUUGUGAUGUCUUAUGUUAUUUAGUUAUAAUUUAAUGAAUUGUGGUGGUGGAAACCGAAAAUGGUAAUGUUUAGCAUGAAAAACCGUAUUCCCCUUAAGAACCUCCAUUGGCCGAAUCUUCCCUAUGGUGUGUUGAUGGUGGACUUGAUUUUAUUUCAAGUGAAUUGGUUAGGAAAUGAUGAAUUAUGGUGAGAAAAUCAAGUAGGAAAAAUCAUAGUGUUGAUGCACUCACCAUGGCCGAAAUUCUCAAGAAGAAAUGUGAGGAUGGUUUUGCUAAAUUUUAUGUUAUUUGACUUGUGUUUGAUGAUUUGGAGUAUUGGGAGAAAAAUGGAAUUAUUUGGAGUUAUAUUGGACAUAUUGGCCAAUUAAUCGGGUGAUAGAUCGAAUUAGGCCAAUACCAUUUUAUUUAGGUACAUAAUUGAAUUUAUAUUGAACACUGUAUUUAGAUAGUUACCCGAGUAUUUCACAUCCCAUUUCAUGCAUUAGUAUAAAGCUUGAAUUGGUUUUAUAACAAUUUAGCACAAAUGUAGUAAAUGGCUUAUUGUGCAUUAUGUCUAGGUGGUGAGCAUUUUGGCAAAAGUAAAGAGAUAGUACCCGAGGAUCAAGAAUCGGAGUACUCAGAAUUCGAUUCCCAUUGUAGUGAGUAACCUUAUUAUCGUCUUAAUUAUCUAAAGUAGUUUUUAUCUUAUUUUGUGAUUUUAUGAAAAAUGAGUUUAAAUGGCAAAUCUUUAUGUUUUAUAAGCAAAAUGUGAUUAAAUGAAAUGAUUUUAUAAAUUGUCUUGAAAUUGAAAAAUGGUUUUGAAAAUGGAGUAAUUGAAGACUAAUUGUUGUGUUGUAAAUUAUGGUGUGAAUUGAAUGGCUUAUGAUAAUGUGGGCAUGAGUGGCUGGAUUUGGUAAAUGUGCUGAAAAAGUAUGAACUGUUGAUUUGCCUUGGGAGGCUGUAAAAUAAAAUAAUUGCCAUGUCAUGCUGUUAAAUUUUUAUUGACUUGGUGGGUUAUAAAUUGGUCGCUGCAGUGGACGGAUUCCAUGGACCAGCCUAUUAGAGGGGCAUGGUAACCCUAUUAUAUUCAUACCUCAGUAUGAGAGGCGCAGUUGGAUAACUCCUAAGGUUAAAACUUUAGAGUUCACUUCAUGCCAAACCACCACGUGAGGGUGAACUCAGCCAAUGCCAAGGAACGACUAUGUUUUCAAAAUAAAAAUAUGAUUUAUGCUUACAUGACUUUUUAACAGCCUUGGUGGACUCGGUUGGGAUAGCCCUAGGCCAAGGUAUCCUUGAUAACUGAGUAUGAGAAUGAUUUUGGCACAAGCCAAACUUUUCAGGAAAUCAUAAGCGUUGUUGUUUAUUUUGGUGAAAUGAAUCUAUUUUAUCUUAUUAAAAUGAGUUGAAAAUGUUGUGAAUCAUUUUUAUGCUAAUCUAUUUUAUCUGUCUCCAUUUACUCAGCUUUAGAUAUUUUAGAUGGUAUUUGUUUACUCAUUAGGAUUAUAUAAUCUUACCACCCUCCUUUUCACCCAUUUCAGGUUCAGUAUAGUCAGUAGAUAGCUCACUUUGUUGAGGGCUACAAUUGGACUUGCAUCCUUAAAAAUUGUAGGUUUACCGUCUUUGAUACUUUUGGUCGUUCGUGGGCCCACGUGUCACUGUAAAUUAAAUUUUAUACUUUGGUUAUCUGUAUUAUAGUAUGUAUGAAUUUAUUUAGCUUUUACACUAUAAAAAUUAUUUAUCGGUAACUCUAUAAAUAUUAUUUUAUAAAAAAAUAGAAUAUUUUAUUAAAUAUUUUUAUUAUAUUCAAAUAGUCAUUAUUUCAUUUUAAAUGAAGGUUUAAGACGUUUAAACUUAUUUUUGAUUAUGAAUUAUGUGUUUUAUACUCGCAUACUAUAUUUUUAGCUAGUUUCGAAAUUUUUGGGGAAAAAUGACCAAAAUGCCCCUGUGAGACAGAAAUCAUUUUUUUAUUGAUUUAAGUUAGAAAUAGCUUAAAAUCUUUUAGAACAUGAUAUUUGGCAACGGUUACUCACAGGGGAAAUGAGAAACUGAUAUUAAAGCCUUGCGAGGUUCCGAUUGACAUUCCGAGUAAUGAGUGUUGAUCAGGACACCGCGACGGUUGUCACGGGCUCGAGGGGAGUACCGGGUUGUGACAAGAAGCAUUUUGCUCCUCCAUCCAUCAUGAGGCGGCUCGUGUCUUAGGCAACAUUCUUACCUAAACAAGAGCAAACACCUGUUAUUAAACACAUUUUAUAAUCGUACUUAUGGCAAAAUAGUAGUUUCUAAGAUGGAGAAUUUAUGCGAUCCUUUGGUUGUAAAAUGUGUCGCGGUUCACACUUCACCAUCAAAGUUUCCACAUAAAGACCCGACUCUCCGUUGGAGCAACAAAAGGAAAGUCCUAGGACCUAGACAACUUAGGUCUCUGAUACCAAGUUUGUCAUGACCUAAAUUCUGGGCCAUGACUGGCGCAUGGGCCCAAUGGACGUAGUCCACUAAGCCCAAGCAAGCCUACUUAUAUUACUUGGUUAUCAUUUCAUCCCACAAGUUACUAAAGUCAUAAUUCAAAAUCUCAAUUCGAAAUGAUGAAACCAUUGCCAACUCGUACUGGCAUUACUCAUUAAAAUAUACACAUAUUGUUUACAGUAUGUAUUCUAACAAUUAACAUCAGAUUUGUCUAUACAUGUCAAAAGGAGACUUGAUGUCCAGCGGAGAAACUCGACAAAUGUAGAGCUACUGAAUGCCGAGACACCUACCAAGAGUCGAGUCUACAAAGGUACCUCGACCUAGUUACCGACUGCCUCCUAAUCUGAAAAUAUGAAGUUGAAAACAGUGAGUAUAAACCUAGUGAGUGAACAAGGAAGGGAACAAGCAAUAGUAAGGAAGGAUUUUAAAAAUCAUGAUGCACUUAUUUUAACAUAAUGGAAUUUAACUUAGUGCUUAUCAUAACCCCUCAAGAACCCCAAUUGAUUAAAUCACUUAAUGUAAAGGGUCCAUGCUCAACUAUGGUACUAAAGAAGUGGAAAAUAGCGUAGCAAUCGAUCAAGAUACUAAGCGAAACAAAAAGUCUUUCCCUACAGUGAGAUUCAAGCCAUAAAACACAAACUUUCUCGCUGUAGCGAGAACCAUGUCUGGUGAAACUUUCAAAACCCGAGAGUUUCUCGCUAUAGCGAGAAACAAGGCACCAGCAAAAAUUCCCCAUUUGCUCAAGAAAAAGCCAUCCUGCUGAAAUGACAAAAACAACAUAAAACACAUAUAAUUUUCAAAAAUUCUACAUGUCAAGUUUCACAUGCAUUUCAAUCAUAUGCCAUAUUCAUAAGCUUUUAUUUCAUAAACAUAGAUAUACAUGAAUACAUAGAUAACCACCAAUAUCACCAUCAUCACACCCAUUUCAUGUGCAUCCCCCCACAUCGUGCACAUAGCCGAAGUCAUCGAGUGCAUCCCCCCACAUUGUGCAUAGUCAGUGCCAUCGUGUACAUCCCCCCACAUCAUGCACACGGGCACUAUCAUCAUCCACCUCCCUCACCACGCCGUCACCAGCAUGUGCAUCCCCCCACAUCAUGCACACACACAGUUAUAAUCAUCACACAAUAUCAACCAUCAUGCACAACAUAUAUAUCUAUAUAUAUAUACCAACAUAAUGUAGUAAUGCACGAAUCCAUAACAACCACAUGUCACAACAUAAAGUCAAUUAUCAAAGGCUUGUUCCCAAGGCACUCGUUUUUAAGAAAAGUUACGUAAAAUCAUUCAAAUGCUUUGUACAAAACAGUCACAUUCCCAAAAUGAUUUUGAAAUGUAGUUCACUCACUGGUAUUAUUUGAGCCUUUAGUUGAUCCUAACUUCCUUAAUUGUCCAAAUGGGAUGAUGUGGCUUCGUUGGAACCUAUCAUCACAUUAGUAUCACCAAUUUGUCAAUUCACACACUUAUAAAGUCUAAAGCUUUCUCUUAGCUAGCUUCUAAUUACCAUUUAAAUGGCUAUCUAUUUUCACUACCCUAAUCACACUAAAAUGAGUGGAUAACCUCAACUAAAAACAUUCACAAUUCCCUAAAAUAUCUACCAGCACAUGCUAUCCAUAAUUUUCACAAUUAAAAUAAAUCAUACUUAUAGGUAUAUAUUUAUGAAAAUUUUAAAAUUGACACCCCCUACUCACCUUAGUAGCUUGAAACUUUGAAAUUCUUUCUAAUAAAUUUUCCAAGCUAUUAUGGGAGCUUUCUCUCUCUUUCUCUCUCUAUACACCUAGCUAGUGAGAGAAAGUGUGAAAGUGGGAUUUUUUAAGGGUUUUAAAGUGAGAGAGUGAAAGAGCAGAAGGAUUUCAUGAAAAGGUGCACCGAGGCAUGAAAAUUGGAGCUAGAAAGAGAAAAAGUUAUGGAAGCUUGAAGAGGACUCCCAUGGAGGAUGAAGAAACAUGAGAGGGAAGAAGGAAGAAGAAGAAGAAAAGCUGCUGGAGAAUGAGGAAACCGCUGAAAGAAAGAUAUUUAUAGCUCAUACUUAUCCAACUCCCCUUGAAAUUACGAAAAUGCCUUUUAGUAAGUUAACUUGUUCUUCUCCAAUCCUUUGUGAAUUUUUUUUUCUUUUGACACUGAGACAAGGUCCAUAAUGAUCUAAACUACUUCGGUUUACGAAAACUUAAAAUUUUGGGUCAGGGUGCUAAAUGACCAUUUUGCCCCUAUUAUGAAAAUUAUCGAAACUUCUAGUUUUCUUCAUGUUUUCAUCAUUACACAUUAUUUAUUCGGUCUUAUGCCUAUUUAGACCUUAAAAUAUCAUAAAACAUUCUUCUAGGAGCUUUUUAGAGGAAAUGAUGAAACUACCCCUAGCUCGUGUUAUUGCGUCUAUGCGUAGUUAUGAGCCUGUAGGGGUUGAGGUCUCAUAUGGCUGCUAAUUUUUGUGGCUGAUAUGAGUAGCUUUGGCUGCUGAUUUUUGGGUUGAAAGGAGCAAGAACUUAUUGCUGGCGAUGAGAGGGAGAGAGAGGAGGAAAUUGUGGCCGACUUGUGAUUGUAAGAAAGGAAAAAGAAAGAGAAGAAAGGUGUUGCCGAUCGGUGGGAGAGAGGCGAAGAAGAAAGAGAGAAAGAAACUGGAAAGGAAGAAAGAAAAAAAAAGAGAGAUUGGGCAUAGCUUAAUAAGAAAAGAAUGGGCAUGGCCUAAUAGGAAGAAAAUGGGAAGAGCCCAUGGAAAAGGGCCCAAUAGCAACAAAGAAAGAAAAGUCCAAAAGAGAAUAAAGGUGGAGACUUGGGCUUGGGCUAACCUAGCCCAAAUAGGUAAAAAUUUCCUUGCUUUUAUUGGGCUUGUUAUGAAGUUGGAUUAUUUGGGGCUAGCCCACUUGUUUAGUUAAAUUUUGGUUAUUAGUGAUAUGAAUUAAAUUUAAAUUACUUUAAUACAAUAUUUAAAAAAUUGUAUUAAGAUGUGUCAUAGGACUAAAGUAAAGAAGAAAAUAUGAAAUUGAUGAAUAGUGCUCAAGUGGAGUUAAGAAAUUUUAAAUGAUUCAUUGUGAAGAAUUAUUAUUGUUGGAGGAAUUUAUAUGCAUAAUUUAGUUGAAAGUAUUAAGUUGAAUGGUAUAAUAUUUGGAAGAAAUAAGGAGAAAUAAUGUGGAUUGAAAUUGGAAAAUAAUUGGAUAGAUUUGAAAUGACUGUGGUUGCCGUAAAUAUAGUUAAUAUUGUGGAAAUAUAAGAUGGAUUUGGGUAGAAAUUAUUUAGAAAGGUUGAAGUAGGCACAUGACAUCAUAAAUAAGUUGUCGGAGAUAUAAUAUAAGGAAUUAUGUAAGCAACUGAUAUAAGUAAUUUCAGUAAAAAUGUAUUAAGAUGUGAAUUAAUUGAAGAUGGUUUCAUGGUAAGAUGAAAAAUAUAAAUUUAAGUAAAGAUUAAUUGAUUGAAGUGCUACCCGCAUACAUAUGUAAUUAAAUAUAUUGAGUCCAUAUUAUUGCUAGGAAGUGCAAAGAUAAGGUUAGAGUACUGUGGUGGUGUGCCCGAGUAAAUAACGAGCGACCGGCCCCUGAAAAUAGUUAGAGACACCUCCGAACAAAUAGCGACUUAAUAUCUCGUUGUUGCCAAGUGAGUGAACUUGCAUUAAAAUGUUUUGGGAUAUACACAUUUACGUUUGAUUGAAUCCUUUAAAACGUUUUAUUGGUUUUCUUCAAAACUCGACGGGAACAAGCCUUUAGGAAAUGUUUUCAUGCUAUAAAAUGGAUGGUGUGAUGAAUCCAUGUGUUUCUAUAUAAUAUCAAUGUAUAUAUAUAUAUACUAUGUCAUAAAUGAUACAUUGUGUGACAAAAUGCAAUCGUGCAUAUGCGGGGUGAGUGCGCACCUGCUGGUGAUGAUGGCGGUGAGGGAGAUGGAUGAUGAUAUUGCUUGUGCACGAUGUGGGGGGAUGCACACAAUGACUCUGGCUAUGUGUACGAUGUGGGGUGAUGCACAUGAGCUGGGUGAGAUGGGGUGUCCGGCUAUGUGCACGAUGUAGGGUGAUGCACAUGAGCUGGGUGAGACGGGGUGAGAUGGCGGUGUAUGUGCUUAUCUAUAUAUUUACUAUAUAGAGAUGUUUGGAUUUAAAAUGUGAUUACAUUGUCUGUUGAAAACUUGAGUAUUGUCAAUGUGUUCAAUUUAAUGUGCAAUGUGGUAUGAGUGGAUUUUUUCAGUGGCAGUGAAAGCCCCUUGGAUUUUAUUUGGCUAGAAUUUCGUUGUAGCGAGAAUGCCUUUCGUUGCAGUGAGAGUCAAUCUAUUAUGCUUGACUUGCUUGAAUUCUACUAAAGUUUUCACUUUUUAACUUCUUUGUUGUUCAUGAGUCUUUCGUCAUCAAGUGACUAAAUGACUAAGGGUUUGAAUGAGGGGUUUUUAAAUAGAAAUAAACUAAAUUACAUUGUUUUGAACUUAAGUGCAUAAGGAUUUCUAAACCUUCCUUAACGUUGCUUGUUCCCUUCUUAUGUUCACUCAUUGAGUUUAUACUCACAUUUUCAACUUCAUGUUUUCAGAUUCAGGGGUGGUUGCGACGUAGAUUGAGGUGCCCAUGUAUGCCCAUCUUUCGACAGGUAUCCUGGUAUUCAGUAGUCAUAUUCCCCAUCUAGAGUCACUCCGCUGAUGGUCCAGGUCUUUGUCUAUGCUCAAUGUGAAUUGAUAAAAUACAUUGGAUAGACUAUCUAUGUAUAUUUCAAACUAUGAUGCCAAUGUGAACAUCCACUUGGGUUUUAUGAAUUAUGUUUGAAGAAAUUGACAUUUGAACACUAUUACGUAUAGAUCUUAAAGAAAUAUGAUAGAUAGAUGGACCAAUAUACAAGUGCAUAUAGAGAAGCUUGCUUGGGCCUAGUCGGCUGUGCCUAUUGGGUCAUUUCGCCAGUCAUGGCCCAGAAAUUAGGCUGUGACAAGAUCGAGGUGUCCUUGUAGAUUCAUUUCCUUGGUAGGUAUCUCGGCAUUCAAUAGCUGAACUUUCACUCGAGUUUCUCCGUUGGAAGUUGAGUAUCCUUUUUGUUGUGUAUAGACAAACUCGAUGUAAAUUAUUAAGAUAUAUGGUUUAGACAAUAUAUGUAUAUUUGAUUGGAAAUGCCACUACGAGAUAGCAAUGGUUAGCAUUAUUUUGAAUUGAAAUUAUGAAAUGUGACUUUAAUAACUUAUGAUGGAAUGAUGGACAAGUUAUAUAAAUAGGCUUGCUUGGGCUUAGUGGGCUACGCCCAUUGGGCCCAUGCGCCUGUCAUGGCUCGAGAUUUGGGUCAUGACAUGUAUCCCUUAGAAAAUGUCCUCCACAGUCUAAGGAAUGGCAAAGCCGAAGUAUGCUUUAAUUUCUUCCUCUCGGACACGCCUUCUAAGACUUUGGUCUUUGCUUUGCUUAAACAGGAAAGGCUCAUCCCAAGCAUAACAUUUAACAUCAUGCAAAAAUUACUUUUUUUGAUAAAAAUUUAAAUAAGGAGGAAGAAUAUUACUUACUAAAUAAGUCACAAAAUCAGCAUAACAAAGAAGUGAUUUCGUACUAAUUUUAAGAAGUUGUUCAUCAAGGAAGAUCUCAUUGAUUAAGGUUAAGUCUCUACUUUGAGCUUCAUUCUCUAAUCUUGAUAGGUGGUAUGCCACCUGAUUCUCUAUUCCUUUUCUAUCAUAAAUCUUUAAAUCAAACCCUUGUAGCGGAAGAAUCCAUCUUAUUAAUCUUAGCUUGGCAUCCUUCUUGGCAACCAAAUACUUGCUUGUUGAAUAAUCAAUGUGGACUAUCACCUUUUUCCUAAUUAAAUAAGAGCAAAAUUUGUCAAAAGCAAACACCACAAAUAAAAGUUCCUUUUCUAUUGUUGUGAUAUUCCUUUGUGCCUCCUCAUUCAAGGUCUUGCUAUAAUAGAAAUUGAAUGAAAAAUUUUAUCUUUCCAUUGACCUAAUACAACACCCACCGCAUAGUCACUUGCAUCACACAUUAGCUCAAAGAGAAGAGUUUAGUCUGGUCUUAUGAUGAUAGGUGCAGAAAUCAAUCUUCUUUUCAAUUCAUUAAAUGUGGCGAGGCAAGCAUCAUCAAAUUUAAAUGGCACAUCUUUUUCCCAAAGAUUGCAAAGUGGUUUUGAAAUCUUUGAAAAAUCCUUGAUGAAUGUACUAUAAAACCCUACAUGGCCAAGAAAACUUUUAAUACCUUUGACAUUUGUUAGUGGUGGAAGCUUUUCAAUUGUCUCAAUUUUUGCCUUGUCUACCUCAAUACCUCUACUGGAAAUUCAGUGCCCAAGAACAAUGCCUUCUUACACCAUGAAGUGGCAUUUUUCCCAAUUCAACACCAAGUUUGUUUCAUCACAUCUCUUGAGUACCUUAGCAAGAUUCGUGAGACAAUAAUCAAAAGUAUUUCCAAAAACAAAUAAAUCAUCCAUAAAUAACUCCAAACAUUCUUCCAUCAGGUCUGUGAGUAUGGCGAUCAUGCAUCUCCAAAACGUGGUAGAGGCAUUACAUAAUCCAAAUGGCAUUAUGAUAAAUGCAAAGGUACCUUAAAGACAUGUGAUAGUAGUCUUUUCUUGAUCUUUAGGGGCUAUGGCAAUUUGAUUGUACCUAAAAUAACCAUCCAAAAAGCAAUAAUAUUCCUUACCAGCUAGUUUAUGUAACGUUUGAUCGAUGAAGGAAAGAGGAAAGUGAUCUUUUCUUGUAGCUUUGUUAAGCUUGUGAUAAUCCAUGCAAACUCUCCACUUAGCCAUUGUUCUUGUAGGAAUCAGUUCAUUGUUGCCAUUAAAGAUCACAGUCAUUCCCCAUCUCUUUGGUAUACAUUGGAUUAGACUUACCUAUGUGUUAUCAGAGAUUGGAUAAAUAAUUCCAGCAUCCAACCACUUAAUGAUUUCUUUCUUGACCCCUUCUUUCAUGAUAGGAUUGACUCUUCUUUGAUGUUCAAUGGUGGCCUUGUGGUUGUCCUUAAGAAGGAUCUUGUGCAUUCAUAUGGAAAGGCUAAUUCCUUUAAUAUCUGCAAUGGUCCAUCCUAUUAUUUUCUUGAACUUUUUAAGUACUCUCAACAGCUUGUUUUCCUGUAUGUUAUUGAGAGAAGCACAAAUAAUAACUGGAUGAGUAGAAGAGUUUCUAGGAAAAGCAUACCUCAAGGGUGUUGUCAAGGGUUUAAGUUCCAAGGUAGGAGGUUCUUCAAUAGAAGGCUUAGAAGCUGGAAUUAAAGAAACUGAAACUUUUAAAGACUCAAAUUGAUGAUUAGAUUUAGAUCUUGAUUGAGCAUUUAACAAAUUUGAGUAUUCAAGAAAUUCAAUAUCAUCCCUAUCAGAAUUAGCAAUUAAGCAUGCUUUAAGUGGGUCAAUAGGAUAUUCUUUUAAAAACACCUCAUUUGUUAGACUACUUACCAUAUUCACAAAAAACAUUCUUCAAAUUUCAUGGGAAAUCUUAAAGCUCUAAAAAUAUUGAAUGUUACCUAUUGAUCUUGAGCGCUCAAGGUAAGCUCACCUUUUUCCACAUCAAUUAGAGUACUUCCAAGGAUGAUCAAAAUUUGCUUAUCUUCCUCUAUGUCAAGAAUUAGAAAAUCAACUAGAAAGAUAAAUUUAUCUACCUUGACAAGAACAUCUUCAAUGAUUCCUCUUGGAUAAACAUAGGAAUGAUCAGCAAGUUGUAGUGUCACAAAAGUUGGCUUGUAUUCCCCCAAACUAAGUUUCUCAAAGAUCAACAUGGUAUCAAAUUGAUACUUGCACCCAAAUCACUUAAAACUUUACCAAAGAACAAUUUUCCAAUUGUGCAAGGAAUUGUAAAACUCCCAAGAUCCUUGAGUUUUGGUGGCAAUUUAUUUUGGAGAAUUACUCUACAUUAUUUUAUGAGAGGAACAGUCUCAAACUCACCCAAUUUUCUCUUAUUGGAAAGAAUGUCUUUCAAGAACUUGACAUAAUUUGGCAUUUGUUCCAAAGCUUUAGCAAAAGGGAUAUUUAUGUGUAGCUUCUUGAAGACGUUAAAAAAAUUUUGAAAUUGUUUAUCAAGCUUUUUUUUUUUAAACCUUUGACGAAUAGGUGGUGAAAGAUGAUUUACUUGAGACUUUACAUGAUUUUCAUCUUUCCCAUCAUCUUUCUUUUUAAUGUCAACUUCCUUCUCAACAAUUACCUCUUCAUCAUUAACAUGCUCUUUUGAAGAUUUAGUUACCUUUUUACUUACCCCUUUAGCCUCUUUUCCACUCUUUAGAGUGAUUACCUUGCAUUGCUCUUUACAUUUGGGAUUGUCUUAAGUGUCACUUAGGAUGGUACCUUGGGGCUUAUUAUUAAUGGAAUUAGCAAGUUGGCCUAAUUAAGUCUCAAGAUUUCUCAAUGAAGCUACUUGACUUUAAAUGAUGGUGUCAUUUUUUGCCAUGUAUUACCUAAGAAGAUCUUCCAAGGUAGGCUUCUUUUUAAAGACAAAAGGUCUAGCUUUUUAUGUGAAACUAGGAGAGAUGUUUGGCCUUGGAUUUGAAGGCCUUGGGUUGUUAUUCCAUGAAAAGCUAGGAUGGUUCCUCAAACUAUAGGUGUUGGAAUAUGGAUUAUUUUGUUGCCUAUUGAAGUUCCCAACAAAUUGUACCGAUUUAGGAUUAGAUGGACAUUGAUCACUGAAGUGGCCUUCUCCACACAAAUUGUUGGUUUCCUUGAGUCAUGUAAUUAAAAAUAAAAUAUGUAGCGAAAAUAUUAAAACUCGAUAACCUCAACAUGGAUCACCACAAAGCACCAUAGUCGUUAUGAUAUAAGCAAAAGGAAUGGUUGUACCUUAGUGUUGUUCAAUUUUCUACCCACGCAAGUGUACGUAUCGCAAAGAUAAUAUAGAGAUGAGUAGAGUGUCGAUCUCUCAGAGAAUUGUUUUAAUUCCUAAUGUUAAGUACUAAAAUUGACACACCCUAAUCUUAUCCAAACAAAUAACAAUAUAAUUAAAACUAAUAACUUAAAAACUAAAACUAAUCUAAAAUAUAUCAACAAAAUUAUUAACUUCUUAUGAUUACCAGACCUAAGAUUAUGAUAUCCCUUAAUACUUCAUCUGAAUAUUGUCUCUCUCUCUUAACUUAGUUUAAUGGAUUAAGUUGUUAACCUAGAGUCCUAAUUAUUUACAAGCCUCUGUCGAGUUUCUCAUAAAAAUAUCUCUCUCAAUUAAUUUACCAUAUGUCUAUGCAAAUUAUAUUGAAGAAAAAUUCAUUAAGUUUGAGCUCUAAUUUUGGCUACGUACGGUUUAUAAGUGUAUGUUUACCCUAUAUGUAAAUCAAACUACCUAAUCAACUAAGUGCAUUCGAUCAUACGCUAUUCUAUUCAAGGUCUACCUAAAUCUCCUUCGUCAAGGUUUAACCUAGGUUUCCAAUUCAAUCUAAUUGGUGGCCAGUCAACUAGAAGCAUUAAGAAUAGAAUAAAAUAAAUAACUUAAAUUCAUCAAACAUAAGUAAAAGAUAGAUAAAUAAAUCAAACUACAUAUUGAGUUUAAUCAUAAUCUUAGAUUAAUGAAUUAGUUCCCUAUCAAGUCAAACAUCAUCAUCAAAUAAAAUUUAAACAUUCAAAUCAAACUAAGAAAAAUAAGAAAAUAACAAAAAGAUAGAAAAAUCCAAGAACUGUAUUCUUGAUCUUCAAAUUCUUCUUAACUUUAAUAACUUAGUGGCUUGACUCUCAACUGUCAAUCUGGCGUUUCGUUAUCUUUUUUAAAAGUCUUCCGAAAGGUUGUUUUUAUAGGGCUUUGAAGUUAAGUCAAGUUGGGUGAAGGAAAAAGUCAAUUUCAGUUGGGAUUUGUUAUUGCCUAAUUAAUUAACAGAAAUCAUAAUUGCACUAGGAUAACUGCAAUGCAUCAACUUUGACAAGAGUUUUGACUACCUUCUAGGCCGAAUUAGGUGAAGUAAAAACAUAAAAUUUCUAUAUUUUUCUCUUAUCUUUACAAUGGUUUAAAGAUCACUUCAUUUGGAGCUUUGUUAAGAGAGUUAUGGCUAAAAUACCAAAACAUGUGCAGUGCAAGUUUGCACCUUGAAAUUGCUCUUCUUCUUUCAUUGAAAUUCUUCUUUCAUCAAAUACUUACAAAAGCACAAAUAAAUCAAUAACAACCUAUCUUAACCACAUUAACACCAAAUUAAGCAUAAAAUUAACUAAGAUUAGAAUGACUUACCAAAAUUAACUAAUUUAAAAUAAUUAAAUAAAAUCUACUAAUUUCUAUGUAUUACUACAAGAACUAAGCUAAAUUAUUAUCUAAAUUAAGUCUAAAUAACUCUAUAUUAAAGAGUUAUCACAUAGCCCUUAGAAUGUAUAGAUUCAUAGAGGGUAACAAAGAUAUUUCUUCACGUGAAUGCAUACCAAGGUCCAGUUGUUGAAAACCAAAACCAUCUAAAUAUUCCACCUCUAACGUAGUCUAUAUAAUCACUACGAGCUUGAACCUUCUUCAAGGGGUCGGGGUUGUUUUUGAUCAAACCUUAUGCUAACAAGGAAGUUUUACAAAGCUCAAGUGUUUUUCUUACUCUUUCUCUUGGCUGAAACUGAGGAGGAAGAACUUUUCUGUCUUCCUUUUCAAUGUGCUGCUAAAGCAAGAGUAGGAAAAAAAAGUACUCUCUUUCUCUUUGGUCUAGAACAACAUAUUUAUAGUUAAGGUUAAUACUUAAGUAGUGUUUAGUUAUCACCACAUAAUUUUUAGAUAAUUAAGUAUUUAACCCCAUUACUUAUUCAAACAUUUUAAUUAAGCUUAAUAGAAGUUCAUAGGCUCUAUUCAAUUAAGUCUUACUUAAUUGUAAAAGCCUAUUUUAAUCUUAUCAUAGUGAUUUUAUGUGUGUGACCCAUUAGACUCCUAACAAGUUGGUAAUGGACUUGAUUAUAAUCUUAAUGAAUUAGGAAUAAAUGAAUCAUAUUCAUUAUUAAUUCCUAAUUUAUUAAUUCAAUUUCAUAAACCAAGAUUGGUAUCUAGCAAUGAAUCAUGGCCACCCAAACGUUAGGAGAGUUAAUAUGGUUUGACUAACCUUUCAAUGUCCAGUCUAUCAGUGUAAUUCAUUCCCUCAUCAUAUAUCCCAGAGAUAAUAAGAGCAUGGUGUAAUGUCUACUCUUAUUGAUCUCCAUAUUCGUUCUUGAAGUUAGAUCUUUAGCUUUAUGGAGACUUAUGAAACUUUUUUUUCAUAAUCUCCAAAUAGCCUUCACCAAGGACUUUAACAAGCUAAUAUCAACCAAGAAAUGUUAGGAUAUGUCCCUUAAAUCACUUGAGGUGAUGAUUCCUUUCUUGACCACUCAUUUACCUUUGCAUGCUUCAUACUACAACCAACAUAUCUUGUUUUGAUAACCUUGGUAGAACUCGUAGUGAUAUUAUCAAAUAUAUAGCACUCCACAUACAAGACAACCUGAUGUCUCAGGUCUAAGGAUUAUUUACACAACUAAGACAUGAGAAAUAUUUGCAAAAGUUGGAGUGAGAUACCAAAUGCAUUUCUCAUGUCAAGUCAUGUUCAAAGAACUUGAUCUCCCAAGGCAAGCACCCGAAUGCUAGUUUGAAGUAUCUCUAUAGUUCAAUCUAUGAGAUCGAUUGCUUACUUCACAAGUAAAGAACAUAGUAUGUACCAAUCUUUGAGCAUUAUUGAUACCUCAUGUCAAUAAUACAAUGAUCAAGAACUUUUAGGAACAAUGCUUUAAUGCAUAAGGAUCUCAUAAUUGUAUAUUAAUACAAUUUCUUUGCAAAGCAUAUAUAGUUCCAUGGGAUUUAUCUACAUAAGUAUAAAUAGUAAUUAAAUUACAAACUCAUUGAUAAAGAACUACCUUAAUGUUAUUCCUCCAUGUGUUAUUAUAAAUAAUAAAGGUCAUAUAUAAAUAAAUUAAAGUAUAAUUCCAUACAACCACUAAUUGGCUUGUAAGGCUCAUAUUAACACAAAUAUCAAGUUAUAAAGGCGUUUUGGACAGCAUUAACUCCCAUUGUAUCAAAUUUCUUUGCCAAUGAAGCUACUUGUGUAGUCAAGGCAUUAAGUGUAUCAAUCUCAUGAACACCAGUAGCUCUUCUAGGAUCAGAUCUUUCUAAUGGUCAUUGGUAAUUAUUAGAUGCCAUUUCUUCCAACAAAUUGUAAGCCUCAUUAAGAUUCUUAUCCAUUAAUGGCCUACUAAUUGCAGCAGCAAUUAUAGCUCUAGUUGAACUCAUCAACCUAUUGUAGAAUGGCUAAACUUGCAACCAUGUUGGAAGCCCAUGGUGCGAACAUCUUUUAAGUAAAUCCUUAAAUCUCUCCCGAGCUUCAAACAAUGAUUCACCAUCAAAUUGUGUAAAAGCAAUUAUAUGAUUCCUCAUCUUUGCAAUCUUGGCUUAUGGAUGGAAUUUUGCCAAAAAAGUUUUAGCCAAGUCAUCCCAUGUAGUGAUAUAUCUUGUUGGGAGUGAAUUUAGGUAACUUUUUGCCUUAUCCUUUAAUGAAAACAAAAAGGGUCUCAAUCUGAUAGCAUCAUCAAUUACCUCAUUAUACUAAAGUGUCACAAAUUUCUAGGAAAUUCACUAAAUGAGAGAGUUAGGAUCAUCAUUGGGUGAUCCACCAAAUCGAACUGAAGAUUAAAUCAUCUGAAUAUAAGCAGGCUUAAUGAGAGGUCUUCUGAUGCUUUGUUGCAAGCCUUGCAAGAAAAGAACAACAUAAUCUUGGAAGGACUUGUUCUCUUCAGGAAUUUGAUUAAUGGCAUUGUUGCCAUUAUUAACAUUUUUGUUAUCUUUAACCAUUAUUUGAUUGAGAGUUGUACCUUGCAAAAUUUCCAUUUGAAUUUUUCUAAAAGUUCUUUCUAUCUUUGGAUAAAAUGGAACAAAUUCAAGUUACUUCUCUAUUGCAUACAGUGACCAAAGAUGCUUGAAAGUAAAAGGAAAACAAAUAAACUUUGAAGUAAGACUAACUUUGUUUAGCAUUAAUAUUAACAAAAAUUCUAGAAACCAAUUCUUUGGCAGCAGCGUAAAAAACUUGUUGUUUAAUUUUCUAGCCUCACAAGUUUAUGUAUUGAAUAGAUAAUAUAAUGGCAAGUAAGGUGUCGAUCCUACAAAUAAUUGAUCUAAUAUUUGUUAAAUACUAAAAUUAUGACAAUUUAGUCUUAUACAAACAAUCAAAAUUGAAUAACUAAUUAAACUAAAAAUUAACUGAAUCUAAUUUAACAAGGAUAUAACUAAAAAAUAUCAAAGCAAUAAUAUAACUUGAGAAAAAUCAAUUCAAACAAACUUAAGAUUACAAUAUCCCUCACACUUCAUCUAAAUCUUACUUCUCUCUCUUAAUUUAUUUCAAUGGAUUGAAUUGUUAACCUAAAGUCCUCAAUUAUUUAGAAGGCUCUUCCGAGGUUCUUAUAAAAAUAUCUAUUUUAACCAAAACACUAGUUUUCAAUAUGAAUUGGAAGUAAUACAGACUCAUUAAGUUCAGGCUCUAAUUUCAGCUACAAACGGCAUAUAGGUAUAUUCCUAUUCUAUACACAAAUUAAUUUAUUCACCCAAGCAAAUAAAUAUGGUCGCAAGCUAUUCCAACCUUGACUUACACUAAACUCCCUUUUCCAAGUUAUGAUUAGGUUUCCAAAUCAAUUUAAUUGGUAACUAAACAAUUAAAUGCAUUAAGAAUAUAUUAGAAUAAAAAAUUCGAAACCAUUGAAAAUAAUCAAGAAAGAGAUUAAAAAUUUAGACUACAUGUGAGUUCAAUUGAAAUCCUAGGUAAAAGAAAUUUACCUGCUCAUGAUUGAAAUAAAAAUCAUCCAAAGUUUAACCAUUAAAAAUUACAAGGAUAAUAAAAGAGAAUAAAGAACAAGAAAACAAAGAUUGGCAAUCUUGAUCGUAAGUUUUCCACUUUAAAGGCUUGGCUUUUCAAAUUUCUGGUGGCUAACUUCUCUAAAAACUAAAAACUCCUAAUAAUCCCAAACCUAGCAUAAUUUGCUAUAUAUAGAGGCUUAGAAUAAUUAGCUAUCAUAAUAAUCCUAAACCUUAUUAGGACUCUUUUGUCUUCCAAGCAAUGCACCAGCCCACAACCUUUAACAAUUGGGUUGGAAAUUCAAAUUUUGGCUCUCGACGUUAUUGCAUUGGGCUUCGAUGUCAUAGUGUUGGGCUGGCUUUAGCUCCUCAUUCAUUAGCAAAUGUAGUCUAUCAAAUUUCAAUACAAUUGUCUCCAACUUUAAGGCAAAACUAGGCAAAAUGGUAUUCAUCAAAGUUGUAGCUUUGUCUCUCAGCUUUCUAAUGGCUCAAGAAUCACUUCAUUUGGACUUCUGGAGUGAGAGUUAUGCUUGAACCACUUUGGCAUGUAUGAAUGAAGCUUAGGUCCUUUAAGCACCUUUCUUCACCAAUUUUAGCCUUAUUCCUUGGAAUGCUACAAAAACAUAAAAAUUAAUAAGUAAUAACUAAACUAAAGAUAAUAGACAAAAAAAAACUUAAUAAAAGUAAACUAAUUAGAAAAAUAACUAAAUCUUAACUUAAACUCAAGAACAUAGCUUACUUUUAAGAACAAAACGAGGCAAAAUAGUUAUAUAAGAUAGAAUGAUCAAAACUUGAAGCAUUUAUUGUUCAACAAUGAACAUCUUUACCUCAAUAUCUUCUUUGGAAGGCAAAACCCUAAAAAAUCCUUAGCACAAAAGAGGGUUUUGCUCUGAAAUUUAAAAAAAAGAGGAUUAAAGUAAAUCCAUGGAUUUAGAGCUUAAAAGUGGUUAAUCUUACCUUAGAUUCAAGUUGGAAGGCUUAAUCCUUGCUAAAUAGGGUCUAUGGAGGCUAUAGAAAAGUUUUUAGAGUGAAAGAAGAUUGAAAGAAAUGAAAAAUGAGAAAAAAGGCUUGGGUUAGGUCUUUUAUUUUUACUGCUGAAGCCUAGGGAUCGACCUUUAAUGCCCAGGGUUUGAUCCCUUAGUCCCCGUGGCUGUAAGGCUUAACCCUAAAUAAGAUCAACCCUAAAUCCUUAGAGAACGAUCCUUUUAGAUUCCAGAAUCAAAUUUUUUGUUCUAACUUUCAAGGAUCGAGUCUUUAGCCGUUAGGGGUCAAUCCUUGUGAUUCUAGAAGCUAUUGCAUGUGUUUUGUUGUGCAAGGAUUAACCUUUUCUCUUUUAGGGGUCAAUCCCUCACAUUUCCAUAAGCGAUUUUUAAAUUAUAAACUUCCAAGGAUUGACCCUUACUCCUUAGGGAUUGACCCUUUAUGCCUUAACUUGCAAAAAUGCAUUUUUUUGGUUUCCUUUUCCUCUAGUUCUUUCAAUCAUCAGUCUUACACCAAUAUAACACAAUAAUAUGGAGAAUUUUAUAACAAAAUAGUUCGAAAACUCAUCCAAUAACUCAAUUAUAUUAAGGCUCAUACCAAUAUCUUCAACUUAAUCAAUUUCACUUAAAUGAAAGGUUGCGGUUUCACAAUAUCCUUUUGUAUCCUUGUGGAAAGAGGUAAUUUCUAUUAAUUAGCUUAUUUCAUUAUAUAUAGUAAUUUCAUUAAUGAGUAUUAAUAAAGAUCAAUUGAUUUUGUAAUACUUUUAUGGAUACUAUAAUGACUCCCACCAUCAAGAGUCACUUCAAUGGGCCCUAGCCUAAAUGGAGGUUGAUUCUUCCUAGGAAAGAUUGCAUGUGGCGUAAUUUUGAGGUACCAUAUUUUUAUUGUAUAUUUAUCUAGCUUUUUCGUAACAAUACCAAUAUAUAUUUAUUUUUAAUGUAGGGAUCUUUUAUAUGGACUACUAUAAAUGGUUUGAUGAUCCACAUCAUAUGGGAGAAGAUUUGCAAGAAACAAUUAAAAGAUCUAUUAGGGGACAAGUACGAGAAAGCCAAGAGGGAAACGAGCACUUGUCACGAUGUCCUGAUCAAAGGGAAAGCACGCCUUUGGAUCACUGUAGACAUCUAGGACCAGCCAGUUGAUAAUGUCUGGGCCAUUCAUGAAUGGCAAUGCAGAUCCGAGAAAGCCCAACAAAACUACUUAGUAGAGAAGAAUGGCAACAUAGGAAAACACAUUGGUGAUUCUUUACCUUUUGCAAUACAUUAGAAGAGAAUGGUAUGUGUUCUUAACUCGUAUUAAGAUAAUGUGAGUCUUUCGUUGUUGUUUUGUUGUUCACAAUUGUGAAACCAUGCAUAAUUUUGGUGAUGCAUUUGUUUUUCUUGUGAUUGUGUUGUGUUACCAUUGUCUUAGGAUUGAAAACAUGUUGUUGUUAUUGUUGUUGUGUUGCUUUUGUUGAAGAUUAUGAAAACAUGCAUAUUGGUAAUGAUGCAUUUUUUGUUCUUAUUGUCUUGUUUUGUGUCAAGCCCGGCUCUACAAUAUGUUUAUUAUGGAGUCAAAUUAGAAUUUUCAUGACUUAGGGGCAAAAUGGUCAUUUUGCCACCCGAGGUUAAGAUGUGAGUGUUGGAUGAAAUUUUUGACUAAGAUUGAUCAUUUGGAGUAUAAUUUGAGUUUGAGAAAUGAAGAAUUUUAAUUUUGACAUUUUUUCGAGCAUAGGGCUAAAAUAGUCAUUUUGCCACCCUAGUGGCAAAAUUAUAAUUUUACACCACCCAACACUUGUCCAGCAUAUGGAUUUUACCCAUUAUUGUCAUGGAUAAUUGAAGGAUUUUAUGUGGUGGAGAAAGAAAGCUUAAUAGUUAAGAAUUAAAAAAAUGGACCAAUGGAAUGGUGACAAGUGUCAAGCUUUUAUUUCUUUAUUAUUUUCCUUAUAAAUUAGCACAAAAUCAGCCCAUUUCUCAUUCUUAUGGUCGGCCAAAGCAAGAACAAAGAAAGAAAAGGAAGAACAAAACCCUAGGUGGAAAAAUUCAAGGAAAAAGUGUGAAAAUUCAAGGAAACAAGUGAAAAAAGGUAAGAUGUUUUCAAUUAAGCUUGAGAUCUCUCUUUCUUAAAGCAUUUUUUCUUAUUUUCCAUGGUUGAAUCACAUGAAAUCAUGAUUAAUCCUUUGCUGGCCAAACAGUUAGAGGGAGGUUUUGAUGCUUGAUUUGGUUAGAUUUCAAUGUAUUUUAGUGUUUUUAGUUAGUUAGUGAUGUAUAGCAUGAAAAUCAAGCAAGAAAAAUUCAUGUUCUUCCAUAACCCAUCAUUGGUCGAAUCUUCCAUGUAGAGUGUGGAUGGUGAAUUUGAUUUUAUUUCAAGUGAAUUAGUUAGGAAAUGAUGAAUUACGGUGAGAAAAUCAAGUAGGAAAAAUCAUAGUAUUGAUGCACCCACCAUGGCCGAAAUUCCCAAGAGAAAAUGUGAAGAUGAUUUUGCUAAAUUUUAUACUAUUUGACUUGUGUUGAUGGUUUGGAGAAUUGGAAGAAAAAUGGAAUUAUUGGAGUUGAAUUGGACAUAUUGGCCAAUUAAUCGAGUGAUAGAUCAAAUUAGGCCAAUACCGUUUUAUUUAGGUACACAAUUGAAUUUGUCUAGAACACAGUGUUUAGACGAUAAUCCGAACAAUUUACAUCCCAUUUCAUGCAUUAGUAUAAAGCCUGAAUUGGUUUUACAACGGUUUAGCACUAAUGUAGUAAAUGGCUUAUUGUGCAUUAUGUCUAGGUGGUGAGCUUUCUGGCAAAAGUAAAGAGAUAGUACCCGAGGAUCAAGAAUCGGAGUACUCGAAAUUCGACUCCCGAAAUUGUGAGUAACCUUACUAUCGUCUUAAUUAUCUAAAGUAGUUUUUAUUUGAUUUUGUGAAUUUUAUGGAAAAUGAGUUUAAACGGUUAAUUUUUAGGUUUUAUAAACAAAAUGUGUUUAAAUGAAAUCAUUUUAUAAAUUGUCUUGAAAUUGAAUGAUGGCUUUGAAAAUAGAGUAAUUGGAGACCAUUUGAUGUAUUGUAAAUUUAUGGUUCUAAUUGAUUGGCUUAUGAUAAUGUUGGCAUGAAUGGUUGAAUUGGUAAAUGUGCUAAAAAUAUAUGAACUGUUGAUUUGCCUUGAGAGGUUGUAAAAUAAAAUAAUUGCCAUGUCAUGCUGUUGAAUUUUAUUGAAUUGGUGGGUUAUAAAUUGGUCGCUGCAGUGGACGGGUUCUGUGGACCAACCUAUUAGAGGGGCACGGUAACCCUAUUAUAUUCAUACCUCAGUAUAAGAGGCGCGGUUGGAUAACUCUUGAGGUUAAAGCUUUAGAGUUCACUUCACGCCAAACCACCACGUGAGGGUGAACUCAGCCAACGCUAAGGAACGACUAUAUUUUCAAAAUAAAUAAAAAACAUGAUUUAUGCGUACAUGACUUUUAACAGCCUUGUUGGACUUGGUUGGGAUAGCCCCAGGCCAAGGUAUCCCUGAUAACUGAGUAUGAGGAUGAUUUUGGCAUGAGCCAAACUUUUCAGGAAAUCAUAAGCCUUGUUGUUUAUUUUGGUGAAAUGAAUCUACUUUAUCUUAUCAAAAUGAGUUCGAAAUGUUGUGGAUCAUUUUUAUGCUAAUCUAUUUUAUCUGUCUCCAUUUGCUCAGCUUUAGAUAUUUUAGAUGGUAUUUGUUUACUCACUAGGAUUAUAUAAUCUCACCACCCUCCUUUCCACCCCUUUCAGGCUCAGGAUAGUCUGUAAAUAGCUCAUUUUGUUGAGGGCUACAGUUGGACUUGCAUCCUCAAAAACUGUAGGUUUACCGCUUUUGAUACUUUUGGUCGUUCGUGGGCCCACGUGUCACUGUAAAUUAAAUCUUAUGCUUUGGUUAUCUGUAUUACAGUAUGUAUGAAUUUAUUUAGCAUUUACGCUAUAAAAAUUAUUUACCG
rnacentral:lncRNA from 1 species